GUACACUCCUGCGGGAGGCAGCAGUGGGGAAUAUUGGACAAUGGGCGCAAGCCUGAUCCAGCCAUGCCGCGUGAGUGAUGAAGGCCCUAGGGUUGUAAAGCUCUUUCACCGGUGAAGAUAAUGACGGUAACCGGAGAAGAAGCCCCGGCUAACUUCGUGCCAGCAGCCGCGGUAAUACGAAGGGGGCUAGCGUUGUUCGGAUUUACUGGGCGUAAAGCGCACGUAGGCGGACUAUUAAGUCAGGGGUGAAAUCCCGGGGCUCAACCCCGGAACUGCCUUUGAUACUGGUAGUCUUGAGUUCGAGAGAGGUGAGUGGAAUUCCGAGUGUAGAGGUGAAAUUCGUAGAUAUUCGGAGGAACACCAGUGGCGAAGGCGGCUCACUGGCUCGAUACUGACGCUGAGGUGCGAAAGCGUGGGGAGCAAACAGGAUUAGAUACCCGGGUAGUCCCA
rnacentral:rRNA from 1 species